GAUUAAGUUAUUAAGGGCGCACGGUGGAUGCCUUGGCACUAGAAGCCGAUGAAGGACGUUACUAACGACGAUAUGCUUUGGGGAGCUGUAAGUA
rnacentral:rRNA from 1 species